GGGGCUGUUUUUGGAUUUGACAAAAUUAUCAACAAAGUAAAGUGCAUGCCGAGGAACGGUUUGCCUCGAUAAAAGCCGUAAAAAAAUAAUUGCAAAUAAUAAACAAAACUACGCUUUAGCAGCUUAAAAAACUGAAUAAAGCCCUUCCUUCUUAUCCUCCUUCUCUUAGGAUGAGAAAACAGGAAGGUCAGAAAAAGAGAAAAACGUGGAUAUCAAGCUUGACGAUAACACGAAGUAGUUUUUUCAAGCUAUAUACCUAAUAUGUGUUUUUCCAAAUUAGGUAAUGAAUUCAAUAAAGAAAAAACUAAGCAUGUAGGGCUUUAUUAGUAGAAAUUUUGGACGCGGGUUCGAAUCCCGCCAGCUCCAAAA
rnacentral:tmRNA from 20 species